AGUGUUGGAGGGUUUCCGCCCUUAAGUGCUGCAGCUAACGCAUUAAGUAAUCCGCCUGGGGAGUACGACCGCAAGGUUGAAACUCAAAAGAAUUGACGGGGGCCCGCACAAGCGGUGGAGCAUGUGGUUUAAUUCGAAGCUACGCGAAGAACCUUACCAGGUCUUGACAUCUUUUGACAGUCUAAGAGAUGGAAGGUUCCCUUCGGGGACAAAGUGACAGGUGGUGCAUGGUUGUCGUCAGCUCGUGUCGUGAGAUGUUGGGUUAAGUCCCGCAACGAGCGCAACCCUUAUUACUAGUUGCCAGCAUUAAGUUGGGCACUCUAGUGAGACUGCCGGUGACAAACCGGAGGAAGGUGGGGACGACGUCAAAUCAUCAUGCCCCUUAUGACCUGGGCUACACACGUGCUACAAUGGAUGGUACAACGAGUUGCGAAACCGCGAGGUUAAAGCUAAUCUCUUAAAAUCCCUU
rnacentral:rRNA from 1 species